UACAGAGGGUGCGAGCGUUGUUCGGAAUUAUUGGGCGUAAAGCGCGUGUAGGCGGCCAACUAAGUCGGGUGUGAAAGCCCUCAGCUCAACUGAGGAAGUGCGCCCGAGACUGGAUGGCUUGAGUGCUGGAGAGGGUGGCGGAAUUCCCCAAGUAGAGGUGAAAUUCGUAGAGAUGGGGAGGAACACCGGAGGCGAAGGCGGCCACCUGGACGGUAACUGACGCUGAGACGCGAAAGCGUGGGGAGCAAACGGG
rnacentral:rRNA from 1 species